rnacentral:tmRNA from 1 species
GGGGGCGACCUGGCUUCGACGUGGGUUGCGAAACCUGAGGUGCAUGCCGAGAAUGAGAACUCUCGUAAAUCAGACUCAUUAAAUAUAAAUGCAAACGAUGAAAACUUUGCUGGUGCUAUCGCUGCGUAAGCUUUGAUAGUUACCAAUCGUGCGCUGCCAUAAAACCAGCGCCCCGUUGACCGAGCCCGCUUAUCGGUAUCGAAUCAACGGUCAUAAGAGAUAAGCUCGCAUCUUAGCCCGUCCCGAGUUAAGGUGUUAAACUAAGGGAAUCGCCGUGUUCGAUCCUGCCUGUCGGAGAGGCCACGGUUAACUUAAUAGACAAGGCUACGCAUGUAGAGCUGACGGCAGAGGAUUUGCGGACGCGGGUUCAAUUCCCGCCGCCUCCACCA